rnacentral:lncRNA from 1 species
AGGGGACCCGGGCAAUAAGGCCGGGCAGCCCGGCCCAGCUCCCCUGUGCUUCCUCACCCCGUGCACGGGAAACCUCUGGAAGGGAGGAGGCUGGAGGCAGAGGAGCCAAGGGGCGGCUCUGCCGGGCAGGGCGCCACCCUGAGGAGAUUCUCCAAGGGCCACCUGCCAGGACAGCUGCCCAGGUGGGUUCGCCGGGUACGUGGGAUUCCCACUUUGUGGCAGUCACUGACCUUCAGUCACCCGGGAGGAAGCCUCAAGGCCACAGGGGCCUCAUAAUCUCCCCACCGAGUUCCUGGAGUCGGCCCUUGGAGGUCAUUUGGGUCAAGGGCAGCAGCCAGGCGUCCGAGUCCAUCUGCCGUCCCUCCCGUCUUCUGGGUCCCCGGAGCCGCAGCCGCGCGUCUAGAGAGCCCAGCAGUGGAGACAAGAAUGAGCCUGACUCCUGCGGCUGGCUGGCGGGGUUCCAUCCUCAGCCCUUCCCAGCCUCCUCCCCAGCCCCCGCCCCCGCCGCCGCCCCCCAAGCUCUGAGCCCCACUAGAGCCGGGCUGGUGGGUGGAGCCUGGAGCUCUAGAGACCAGCGCAAUUCCGGUUCCACUCAGGGCUUCAUUGAAAAGGAGGCCCUUCUCGGAAAUCACCCUCUUCUCUCCUGGCAAGUGGUUCUUGCUGCCUCUCUGCCCUGCGGCUCCCCACCCACCGCCCUUGCUUCCUACACAGCGCCUGUUUCAUCUCUGGACUUCUAGGGGACCACCUCUUGGCCCAUGGCUGUAGCACUUCUGAAGGAUCAUGAGCAGGCAUACCUUUCUCCAGCUGCCUGGGAGAAUGUCCUCCAUCUGGAGCAGCACAAUCAGAAAGGCAUCUCUUCCUCCAGGCUCAUGCCAAGGGUAUGACUCGACCCUCCUGCCUCUGGCUGCAUGCUCUUCCCAGAAAAAGCUCUUGCCCCCAGGCUUCCCUUGAAAACUGCUUCUGCCAGUCUCUCCAAUACAUAUGGAGAAGGAGAGGGGAAGUAAUCUGUUCCAUUUGCAUCUUGUUUUUAUUUUGCAAAUAAAAAUGAAAAUUGGUUUCGCGGGAGAAGGCAGCUGCCUUAGGAAAAAAAUGGUAUCUGGCUUAGGAUCUCACAGACCAGUAUGUAGGUUUCACCAGGGACUUCUAGAUGUGCCUCAAAGGGAUCUGCUUCCUUUCUCUCCAG